rnacentral:rRNA from 1 species
GAUGAACGCUAGCGGCAGGCUUAAUACAUGCAAGUCGAGGGGCAGCAUGAGUGUAGCAAUAUAUUUGAUGGCGACCGGCAAACGGGUGCGGAACACGUACACAACCUUCCUAUAAGUGGGGAAUAGCCCAGAGAAAUUUGGAUUAAUACCCCGUAACAUAAUGAUGUGGCAUCACAUUAUUAUUAUAGCUACGGCGCUUAUUGAUGGGUGUGCGGCUGAUUAGAUAGUUGGCGGGGUAACGGCCCACCAAGUCUACGAUCAGUAGCUGAUGUGAGAGCAUGAACGGCCACACGGGAACUGAGACACGGGCCCGACUCCUACGGGAGGCAGCAGUAAGGAAUAUUGGUCAAUGGACGAAAGUCUGAACCAGCCAUGCCGCGUGAAGGAUUAAGGUCCUCUGGAUUGUAAACUUCCUUUAUCUGGGACGAAAAAAGGCUAUUCUUAGUCACUUGACGGUACCAGAUGAAUAAGCACCGGCUAACUCCGUGCCAGCAGCCGCCGCGGUAA